GGGUUGUGAGGUUAAGCGACUAAGCGUACACGGUGGAUGCCCUGGCAGUCAGAGGCGAUGAAGGGCGUGCUAAUCUGCGAUAAGCGCCGGUAAGGUGAUAUGAACCGUUAUAACCGGCGAUACCCGAAUGGGGAAACCCAGUGUGACUCGUCACACUAUCAUUAACUGAAUCCAUAGGUUAAUGAGGCGAACCGGGGGAACUGAAACAUCUAAGUACCCCGAGGAAAAGAAAUCAACCGAGAUUCCCCCAGUAGCGGCGAGCGAACGGGGAGGAGCCCAGAGCCUGAAUCAGCAUGUGUGUUAGUGGAAGCGUCUGGAAAGGCGCGCGAUACAGGGUGACAGCCCCGUACACAAAAGCGCAUGUGCUGUGAGCUCGAUGAGUAGGGCGGGACACGUGGUAUCCUGUCUGAAUAUGGGGGGACCAUCCUCCAAGGCUAAAUACUCCUGACUGACCGAUAGUGAACCAGUACCGUGAGGGAAAGGCGAAAAGAACCCCGGCGAGGGGAGUGAAAAAGAACCUGAAACCGUGUACGUACAAGCAGUGGGAGCCCCACCACUAAGCCAGUGGUGAACUCCACAUACGCAUCCUUUGCUGAGGAUACGGUUAACGGAGCGAAAGCGACGUUCAACCGCAAAAGAAGCAGAGGGGGCUUAGUGGUGGGGUGACUGCGUACCUUUUGUAUAAUGGGUCAGCGACUUAUAUUCUGUAGCAAGGUUAACCGAAUAGGGGAGCCGGAGGGAAACCGAGUCUUAACCGGGCGUUAAGUUGCAGGGUAUAGACCCGAAACCCGGUGAUCUAGCCAUGGGCAGGUUGAAGGUUGGGUAACACUAACUGGAGGACCGAACCGACUAAUGUUGAAAAAUUAGCGGAUGACCUGUGGCUGGGGGUGAAAGGCCAAUCAAACCGGGAGAUAGCUGGUUCUCCCCGAAAGCUAUUUAGGUAGCGCCUCGUGAAUUCAUCUCCGGGGGUAGAGCACUGUUUCGGCUAGGGGGCCAUCCCGGCUUACCAACCCGAUGCAAACUGCGAAUACCGGAGAAUGUUAUCACGGGAGACACACGGCGGGUGCUAACGUCCGUCGUGAAGAGGGAAACAACCCAGACCGCCAGCUAAGGUCCCAAAGUCAUGGUUAAGUGGGAAACGAUGUGGGAAGGCCCAGACAGCCAGGAUGUUGGCUUAGAAGCAGCCAUCAUUUAAAGAAAGCGUAAUAGCUCACUGGUCGAGUCGGCCUGCGCGGAAGAUGUAACGGGGCUAAACCAUGCACCGAAGCUGCGGCAGCGACACUAUGUGUUGUUGGGUAGGGGAGCGUUCUGUAAGCCUGUGAAGGUGGCCUGUGAGGGUUGCUGGAGGUAUCAGAAGUGCGAAUGCUGACAUAAGUAACGAUAAAGCGGGUGAAAAGCCCGCUCGCCGGAAGACCAAGGGUUCCUGUCCAACGUUAAUCGGGGCAGGGUGAGUCGACCCCUAAGGCGAGGCCGAAAGGCGUAGUCGAUGGGAAACGGGUUAAUAUUCCCGUACUUGGUGUUACUGCGAAGGGGGGACGGAGAAGGCUAUGUUGGCCGGGCGACGGUUGUCCCGGUUUAAGCGUGUAGGUGUGUGUUCCAGGUAAAUCCGGUUCACUUUAACACUGAGGCGUGAUGACGAGGCACUACGGUGCUGAAGCAACAAAUGCCCUGCUUCCAGGAAAAGCCUCUAAGCAUCAGGUAACAUCAAAUCGUACCCCAAACCGACACAGGUGGUCAGGUAGAGAAUACCAAGGCGCUUGAGAGAACUCGGGUGAAGGAACUAGGCAAAAUGGUGCCGUAACUUCGGGAGAAGGCACGCUGACAUGUAGGUGAAGUGAUUUACUCAUGGAGCUGAAGUCAGUCGAAGAUACCAGCUGGCUGCAACUGUUUAUUAAAAACACAGCACUGUGCAAACACGAAAGUGGACGUAUACGGUGUGACGCCUGCCCGGUGCCGGAAGGUUAAUUGAUGGGGUCAGCGCAAGCGAAGCUCCUGAUCGAAGCCCCGGUAAACGGCGGCCGUAACUAUAACGGUCCUAAGGUAGCGAAAUUCCUUGUCGGGUAAGUUCCGACCUGCACGAAUGGCGUAAUGAUGGCCAGGCUGUCUCCACCCGAGACUCAGUGAAAUUGAACUCGCUGUGAAGAUGCAGUGUACCCGCGGCAAGACGGAAAGACCCCGUGAACCUUUACUAUAGCUUGACACUGAACAUUGAGCCUUGAUGUGUAGGAUAGGUGGGAGGCUUUGAAGUGUGGACGCCAGUCUGCAUGGAGCCGACCUUGAAAUACCACCCUUUAAUGUUUGAUGUUCUAACGUGGACCCGUAAUCCGGGUUGCGGACAGUGUCUGGUGGGUAGUUUGACUGGGGCGGUCUCCUCCUAAAGAGUAACGGAGGAGCACGAAGGUUGGCUAAUCCUGGUCGGACAUCAGGAGGUUAGUGCAAUGGCAUAAGCCAGCUUGACUGCGAGCGUGACGGCGCGAGCAGGUGCGAAAGCAGGUCAUAGUGAUCCGGUGGUUCUGAAUGGAAGGGCCAUCGCUCAACGGAUAAAAGGUACUCCGGGGAUAACAGGCUGAUACCGCCCAAGAGUUCAUAUCGACGGCGGUGUUUGGCACCUCGAUGUCGGCUCAUCACAUCCUGGGGCUGAAGUAGGUCCCAAGGGUAUGGCUGUUCGCCAUUUAAAGUGGUACGCGAGCUGGGUUUAGAACGUCGUGAGACAGUUCGGUCCCUAUCUGCCGUGGGCGCUGGAGAACUGAGGGGGGCUGCUCCUAGUACGAGAGGACCGGAGUGGACGCAUCACUGGUGUUCGGGUUGUCAUGCCAAUGGCACUGCCCGGUAGCUAAAUGCGGAAGAGAUAAGUGCUGAAAGCAUCUAAGCACGAAACUUGCCCCGAGAUGAGUUCUCCCUGAGACUUAGAGUCUCCUGAAGGAACGUUGAAGACGACGACGUUGAUAGGCCGGGUGUGUAAGCGCAGCGAUGCGUUGAGCUAACCGGUACUAAUGAACCGUGAGGCUUAACCUUACAACGCCGAAG
rnacentral:rRNA from 1 species